rnacentral:rRNA from 1 species
UACGUAGGGUGCGAGCGUUAAUCGGAAUUACUGGGCGUAAAGCGUGCGCAGGCGGUCUUGUAAGCCAGAUGUGAAAGCCCCGGGCUUAACCUGGGAACUGCAUUUGGGACUGCAAGGCUGGAGUACGGCAGAGGGAGGUGGAAUUCCACGUGUAGCAGUGAAAUGCGUAGAGAUGUGGGGGAACACCGAUGGCGAAGGCAGCCUCCUGGGCUAGUACUGACGCUCAUGCACGAAAGCGUGGGGAGCAAACAGG